rnacentral:rRNA from 1 species
UACGUAGGGGGCAAGCGUUGUCCGGAAUCAUUGGGCGUAAAGCGCGCGUAGGCGGCCCGGUAAGUCCGCUGUAAAAGUCCAGGGCUCAACCCUGGGAUGCCGGUGGAUACUGUCGGGCUUGAGUACGGAAGAGGCGAGUGGAAUUCCUGGUGUAGCGGUGAAAUGCGCAGAUAUCAGGAGGAACACCCAUUGCGAAGGCAGCUCGCUGGGACGUUACUGACGCUGAGACGCGAAAGCGUGGGGAGCGAACAGG